AUUGAACGCUGGCGCAACGCCUUAACACAUGCAAGUCGAACGGCAGCACAGCAUAGCAAUAUGUGGGUGGCCAAGUGGCCGAACGGGUGAGUACAACAUCGGAACAUACCUUGUAGCGGGGAAUAACUGAUCGACAGAUUAGCUAAUACCGCAUAACAUCUGAGGAUUAAAGCUGGGGACCGCAAGGCCUGGCACUACAAGAUUGGCCGAUGCCUGAUUAGAUAGUUGGCGGGGUAAAAGCCCACCAAGUCAACGAUCAGUAGCAGGUCUGAGAGGAUGAUCUGCCACACCGGAACUGAGAACGGUCCGGACUUCUACGGAAGGCAGCAGUGGGGAAUAUUGGACAAUGGACGCAAGUCUGAUCCAGCGAUGCCGCGUGAGUGAAGAAAGCCUUCGGGUCGUAAAGCUCUUUUACUUGGGAAGAAAAGUCUGUGU
rnacentral:rRNA from 1 species